GAAAUGCGAUAAGUAGUGUGAAUUGCAGAAUUCAGUGAAUCAUCGAAUCUUUGAACGCACAUUGCGCCCUUUGGUAUUCCUUAGGGCAUGCCUGUUCGAGCGUCAUCUAAACCUUCAAGCCCUGAUUGGUGUUGGGUGCCUGUCCCGCCUCCGCGCGCGGACUCACCUCAAAUCCAUUGGCGGCCCCCGCGUCGGCCACGAGCGCAGCAGAAACGCGAACUCGUGAGCCCGUCCGGGCGGCUCCCAGAAGCUACACCCACCCAGUUUGACCUCGGAUCAGGUAGGGAUACCCGCUGAACUUAAGC
rnacentral:misc_RNA from 1 species